rnacentral:lncRNA from 1 species
CGUAUUAUUUGUGGUUUGGAAAUCUCAUAGAUCGAAAACCCUGCCGCACUCCAUUCUUCCCUUCUCUCGAUCAGCUUUCCCUUCGAAGUUUACGUGUACGAAUCUUGUUGAUUGUUCCAUAUUCGAUCAGUAUAACCUAUUCUCUGACAUAUGUUACUGAUAUGGUUGAUCAACGUGAAACAAAGUGAUAAAACAUACCGAGCAAAUCCCAGGUGA